CGACACUUUCCCAACCGCUUCACCACCCCUCAGCGACUUCCGCUUCCGGCGACUCCAUGGGGAAACUGAAGCCCUAGAGGAAAAGAAGACUAAAUGUAUUACCAUCUGACCCACUUCCUGGCCAGCCUGUUCACCUGUCUGCUGUUCUUCAUUGUUGGGCUGCCUUCUUUUGAUCAAAGCACCUGGAUUUUCAUCUUGGGACUUAUCCCUUCUCCAUCCUCAGUACAUGUUGCUCAAAUGUGGGUAACCCUGGUCUCUGGGCUCCAAGUGAAUAACUCAGGGGUGAUUCUUUUGCGACCCUUGAUGUUUCUUUACAGAAAGAGAAGCUUAUUUUUUUUUCCCUGCUGUUCCUAAGCCAGAAGAAUUUAAACCUGGAGCUGCUGGUGGCCAUUUUGACACUCAAUAAAGAGCUCUUGCCUGAGAAUGAAACCAUCACAAAUGGAAAUAGAGACAAUGAAUAUAGGCAGAUUCUUGAUGACUUUGUCUAAACUCUUGGAUCUAGCUAUGCCUGAAACCUUAGAGUUUCUGUAAUGUGAACCUCUGAUUCCAAUAUUUUUUGCUUGUGUAAAUUUGAGAGGGUUUUGUUACUUGCAACUAAAAGAUUUUUGAUAAAAUAGACCUGUGAUAGACUUGAGCUCUCCCUCUCCCUCUCCCUCUCGUCUCCCUCUCCCUCUCCCUCUCCCUCUCCCCAUGGUCUCCCUCUCCCCAUGGUCUCCCUCUCCCUCUCUUUCCACGGUCUCCCUCUCAUGCCAAGCCGAAGCUGGACUAUACUGCUGCCAUCUCGGCUCACUGCAACCUCCCUGCCUGAUUCUCCUGCCUCAGCCUGCGGAGUGCCUGCAAUUGCAGGCGCACGCCGCCACGCCUGACUGGUUUUCGUAUUUUUUUGGUGGAGACGGGGUUUCGUUGUGUUGGCCGGGCUGGUCUCCAGCUCCUAACCGCGAGUGAUCCGCCAGCCUCGGCCUCCCGAGGUGCCGGGAUUGCAGACAGAGUCUGGUUCACUCAGUGCUCAAUGGCGCCCAGGCUGGAGUGCAGUGGCAUGAUCUCGGCUCGCUACAACCUCCACCUCCCAGCCGCCUGCCUUGGCCUCCCAAAGUGCCGAGAUUGCAGCCUCUGCCCGGCUGCCAUCCCAUCUGGGAAGUGAGGAGCGCCUCUUCCCGGCCGCCAUCACAUCUAGGAAGUGAGGAGUGUCUCUGCCCCGCCGCCCAUCGUCUGGGAUGUGGGGAACGCCUCUGCCCCGCCGCCCUGUUUGGGAUGUGAGGAGUGCCUCUGCCCGGCCGCCACCCCGUCUGGGAGGUGAGGAGCGUCUCCGCCCGGCCGCCCCGUCUGAGAAGUGAGGAGACCCUCCGCCCGGCAGCCGCCCCAUCUGAGAAGUGAGGAGCCUCUCCGCCCGGCAGCCACCCCGUCUGGGAAGUGAGGAGCGUCUCCGCCCGGCAGCCACCCUGUCCGGGAGGGAGGUGGGGGGGUCAGCCCCCCGCCCGGCCAGCCGCCCCGUCCGGGAGGGAGGUGGGGGCGUCAGCCCCCCGCCUGGCCAGCCGCCCAGUCCGGGAGGGAGGUGGGGGGGUCAGCCCCCUGCCCGGCCAGCCGCCCCGUCCGGGAGGUGAGGGGCGCCUCUGCCCGGCCGCCCCUACUGGGAAGUGAGGAGCCCCUCUGCCCAGCCAGCCGCCCUGUCCGGGAGGGAGGUGGGGGGGGGUCAGCCCCCCGCCCGGCCAGCCGCCCCGUCCGGGAGGUGAGGGGUGCCUCUGCCCGGCCGCCCCUACUGGGAAGUGAGGAGCCCCUCUGCCCGGCCACCACCCCGUCUGGGAGGUGUGCCCAACAGCUCAUUGAGAACGGGCCAGGAUGACAAUGGCGGCUUUGUGGAAUAGAAAGGGGGGAAAGGUGGGGAAAAGAUUGAGAAAUGGGAUGGUUGCCGUGUCUGUGUAGAAAGAAGUAGACAUGGGAGACUUUUCAUUUUGUUCUGUACUAAGAGAAAUUCUUCUGCCUUGGGAUCCUGUUGAUCUGUGACCUUACCCCCAACCCUGUGCUCUCUGAAACAUGUGCUGUGUCCACUCAGAGUUAAAUGGAUUAAGGGCGGUGCAAGACGUGCUUUGUUAAACAGAUGCUUGAAGGCAGCAUGCUCAUUAAGAGUCAUCACCACUCCCUAAUCUCAAGUACCCAGGGACACAAACGCUGCGGAAGGCCGCAGGGUCCUCUGCCUAGGAAAACCAGAGACCUUUGUUCACUUGUUUAUCUGCUGACCUUCCCUCCACUAUUGUCCUAUGACCGUGCCAAAUCCCCCUCUGUGAGAAACACCCAAGAAUGAUCAAUAAAAAAAAAAAAAAAAGACCUGUGAUAAGCAUCUAUCUAUAUAUUUAAAAAUAUAUGUAUAAGUACUCAAUAUUCUCAAUAUUUAUUCUUGAGGACAGUACUUAUUAGGAAUAUUUCCAUGCAAUCAACACCUAAAAGUGAAAUGACUACAUAAAGGGUCUUGGUGUAUUUAAAACCAUGUUCCAAGAAUGUACAGAUUUUCACUCUCACCUACACCAGUGCUUGUUUCCCCACAUCUGGAAGUAGAUCUGAGAUGUGUAUAACAACGGAAAAAUGAACAAGAGACUUGAACUGGCAUUUCAUGAAAGAAUAUAUCCAAAUGGCCAAUAAACCUAAAAAAACAUGCUCAACCUCAUUAGGCAUUAAGGAAAUGCAGAUUAAAGCAUUUCCACAAUAUGAUACUACUAAGCACCCACCAGAAUAGCUGACAUUAAAAACACUCACAAUACCAAGAUUGUUGAGGAUGUGGAGCAACUGGAAAUUUCCUUCACUGCUGGUGGUAGUAUAAAUUGAACCACCCCUAUGGAUAACUGUUUGGCAGCAUAUAAAGCUUAUAAGGCUGAACAUAUGCAUUUCCUCUGGCCAGCAAUUCCACUCAUGGGAAAUCUACAUUUAUUCACCAAAAGGCAUUGUACAAAAAACAUUCAUAGCAUUUUGUAAUAGCUCCACUCCCAUCUUCUCCCUGAAACACAACCCAAAAGUCCUUCAAGAAGUAAACAGAUAAAUAAAUUGUGGUACAUUCAUAUUGUAGAAUACUAUAUAGCAAUGAUAAUGAACAAAUGACAGUUAUGCACAAAAAUAUAAGUGAAUCCCAUAAACAUAACAUUGUGAAAUGAAUCCAGAUCCAAAAGAGUAUACCCCAUAUUAUUCAUUUAUAUGAUAUUCAAGAAACAGGCAAAAAUAAUUGAUGGUGAUAGAGGUCAGGAUGGUGGUUACCAUUGGGGAGAAGGAGGACCAUGUCUGGGAGGAUGUUUGAGGGGGUUUUUUGGGUUCUGGUUGUCUUAGUCUGUUUUGUGCUGCUAUAACAGACUACUUGAGACUGGGUAAUUUAUAAUGAACAGAAAUGUAUUGGCUCAAAAUGGAGACUGGGAAGUCCAAGAUUGAGGGGCUGGCGUGGCAUCUUGUGGGAACCUUCUUGCUGUGUCAUCCCAUGGUGGAAGGUGGAAGGGCAAGAGAGGGGUGAGAAAGGACAAAACUCACCCUUUUAUAAUAGCAAUAAUCCCAUCCAUGAGGGUGGAGGCUUUCUGGUCUAAUCACCUUAUAGGGAACUAGAGGUCAUUAUAGCAAGUGAAAUAAGCCAGCCACAGGAAGACAAAUAUUGCAUGUAAUCACCUGACAUGGUUUGGAUCUGUGUCCCACCCAAAUCUCAUGUUGAAUUGUAAUCCCCAGUGUUGGAGGUGGGGCCUGGUGGGAGGUGAUUGGAUUGUGGAGGUGGAUCCUCCAUGAAUGGUCUAGCACCAUCCCCCUUGGUACUGUCCUCAUGAUAGUGAGUGCUCAUGAGAUCUGGUUGUUUAAAAGUGUGUAGCUCGCCUUGCCCCCCACUUUCUUUUGUUCUUGCUCCUGCUGUGUAAGACAUGCCUGCUUCCUCUUCACCUUUAGCCAUGAUUGUAAGUUUCCUGAGGUCUCCCCAGAAGCUGAGCAGAUGCCAGCAUAAUGCUUCCUGCACAGCUUGCAGAACCAUGAGCAAAUUAAACCACUUUCCUUUGUAAAUUAUUCAGUCUCAGGUAUUUCUUUAUAGCAAUGUGAGAAAGGACUAAUAUAUCUCUCAUACAUAUUUGGGAUCUAAAAAAGCUGAUCUCAGCCAGGCACGGUGGCUCACCCCUGUAAUCCCAGCACUUUGGGAGGCCGAAGUGGGUGGAUCACCUGAGGUCGGGAGUUUGAGACCAGCCUGACCAACAUAGAGAAAAACUGUAUCUACUAAAAAUACAAAAUUAGCCAGGUGUGGUGGCACAUGCCUGUAAUCCCAGCUACUUGGGAGGCUGAGGCAGGAGAAUCGCUUAAACUUGAGAGGCGGAGGUUGCGGUGAGCCAAUAUCAUGCUAUUGCACUCCAGCCUGGGCAACAAGAGUGAAACUCCAUCUCAAAAAAAAAAAAAGCUGAUCUCAUGAAGUAGAGAAUAGAAUGAUAGCAGAGCCUGGGAAAGAUAUGGGUGUGGGUGUUGGGAAUGGAGAGAGGUUGGUGAAUGGGUAUAAACAUAUAGUUAGAUGGAAGAAAUAAGUUCUAAUGUUGGAUAGCAGAGUAGUGUAAUAAUAGUUAUCAACAAUGUAUUGUACAUUUAAAAAUAGCUUGAAGUGAGGACUUGAAAUGUUCUCAAAACAGAAAUGAUAAAUGGUCCUAGUGACAGGUAUCCUAAGUACCCUCACUUGAUCAUUACACAUACUAUGCAUAUAACAAAAUAUCACCUGUACCCAUCAACAUAUUUACAAAUAUUACAUUUCAAUAAAAAAGGCCCCCAUCUCUUAAUGGUGCUACAAUGGCAAUUAAAUUUCAACAUGAGUUUUGGAGAGGACAAAGGUUGAAACAACAGCACUGGUAAUGGUCUGUAUCUUGAUUUUGGUGAAGAGGUUGCAUGGAUCUUUUCACUGUGUAAAAACUUAUAAAACUAUGUACUUAUAUUUGUGUGCUUUUCUCUAUGUAUGUUAUACUUUAAUAAAAUUGUUUUUUAAAGCAUUUGGGUGAGAAUAAAAUAAUUUAGAAAAAUUCUACUAGUGGAAAAGAACUUCAGAACACAGAGAGAAAUGCAAGACAUUGCAAAAUUGGUCCUGAUGCAAGAUACUGCAAUGAUGAAAGGCCAAUUUUUCAGGCCUUUGUUGCAAACCUGAAGUGAAACAUCUGAUAUAUUUCUCAUUUGCAUUGCUAGGAAUUUUAUCUUUGGACAAACACAGGAAUAAAGUGAAAAAUGGACCAAGAGCCAAUAAAGGAAGAAAACUGGAUGGAAACUUUGGGGAAAGUUCACCACAGUGCCUGUAUCUGGGGACUGAUACUGUAUUGGGAAGGAGAUAAUUCUGGUCAUAUUCUGCACUAGAUUUUGGAAGGAAAUGGUCUGAACAAUCUCAUAAAAGAUUGACAUGAGUUCUUUGCUAAAGUCUCUAGAAAGAAAUAUGGCAUUAGAUGGGUGAGGAACUCUAGAAAAUGAAAUAAAUAUGAGUGAAUGAAUGAAUAUGAAUAUAAAUGAAAUGAAUGAAAUAAAAUGAAA
rnacentral:lncRNA from 1 species